rnacentral:rRNA from 1 species
CGAUGGCGAAGGCAACCUCCUGGGCCUGUUUUGACGCUGAGGCACGAAAGCGUGGGUAGCAAACAGGAUUAGAUACCCUGGUAGUCCACGCCGUAAACGAUGAGAACUUGACGUUGGUUUGCUUAGCAAAUCGGUGUCGUAGCUAACGCGAUAAGUUCUCCGCCUGGGGAGUACGGCCGCAAGGUUAAAACUCAAAUGAAUUGACGGGGGCCCGCACAAGCGGUGGAGCAUGUGGUUUAAUUCGAUGAUACGCGAAAAACCUUACCUGGGUUUAAACGUCUUGUGCUAGGUGGUGAAAGCCACUGUUCCUUCGGGACACAAGGCGAGGUGCUGCAUGGCUGUCGUCAGCUCGUGUUGUGAGAUGUUGGGUUAAGUCCCGCAACGAGCGCAACCCAUUUCCUAUGUUGCUAACCAUACUUCGGUAUGGAGGACUCUUAGGAUACUGCCUAGGUUUAACUAGGAGGAAGGAGUGGAUGAUGUCAAGUCCUCAUGGCCUUUAUGUCCAGGGCUACACACGUGCUACAAUGGAGUUUACAGAGAGAUGCUAAGUCGCAAGGCCCAGCUAAUCUUCAAAGGACUUCUCAGUUCGGAUUGAAAUCUGCAACUCGAUUUCAUGAAGCUGGAAUCACUAGUAAUCGCGGAUCAGCAUGCCGCGGUGAAUGCGUUCUCGAGCCUUGUACACACCGCCCGUCAAAUCAUCCGAAUCAAUUUCACCCGAAGUUGUCGUACCAACCGCUCUGCGGAG